rnacentral:rRNA from 1 species
GAUGAACGCUGGCGGCGUGCCUAAUACAUGCAAGUCGAGCGAACGGACGAGAAGCUUGCUUCUCUGAUGUUAGCGGCGGACGGGUGAGUAACACGUGGAUAACCUACCUAUAAGACUGGGAUAACUUCGGGAAACCGGAGCUAAUACCGGAUAAUAUUUUGAACCGCAUGGUUCAAAAGUGAAAGACGGUCUUGCUGUCACUUAUAGAUGGAUCCGCGCUGCAUUAGCUAGUUGGUAAGGUAACGGCUUACCAAGGCAACGAUGCAUAGCCGACCUGAGAGGGUGAUCGGCCACACUGGAACUGAGACACGGUCCAGACUCCUACGGGAGGCAGCAGUAGGGAAUCUUCCGCAAUGGGCGAAAGCCUGACGGAGCAACGCCGCGUGAGUGAUGAAGGUCUUCGGAUCGUAAAACUCUGUUAUUAGGGAAGAACAUAUGUGUAAGUAACUGUGCACAUCUUGACGGUACCUAAUCAGAAAGCCACGGCUAACUACGUGCCAGCAGCCGCGGUAAUACGUAGGUGGCAAGCGUUAUCCGGAAUUAUUGGGCGUAAAGCGCGCGUAGGCGGUUUUUUAAGUCUGAUGUGAAAGCCCACGGCUCAACCGUGGAGGGUCAUUGGAAACUGGAAAACUUGAGUGCAGAAGAGGAAAGUGGAAUUCCAUGUGUAGCGGUGAAAUGCGCAGAGAUAUGGAGGAACACCAGUGGCGAAGGCGACUUUCUGGUCUGUAACUGACGCUGAUGUGCGAAAGCGUGGGGAUCAAACAGGAUUAGAUACCCUGGUAGUCCACGCCGUAAACGAUGAGUGCUAAGUGUUAGGGGGUUUCCGCCCCUUAGUGCUGCAGCUAACGCAUUAAGCACUCCGCCUGGGGAGUACGACCGCAAGGUUGAAACUCAAAGGAAUUGACGGGGACCCGCACAAGCGGUGGAGCAUGUGGCUUAAUUCGAAGCAACGCGAAGAACCUUACCAAAUCUUGACAUCCUUUGACAACUCUAGAGAUAGAGCCUUCCCCUUCGGGGGACAAAGUGACAGGUGGUGCAUGGUUGUCGUCAGCUCGUGUCGUGAGAUGUUGGGUUAAGUCCCGCAACGAGCGCAACCCUUAAGCUUAGUUGCCAUCAUUAAGUUGGGCACUCUAAGUUGACUGCCGGUGACAAACCGGAGGAAGGUGGGGAUGACGUCAAAUCAUCAUGCCCCUUAUGAUUUGGGCUACACACGUGCUACAAUGGACAAUACAAAGGGCAGCGAAACCGCGAGGUCAAGCAAAUCCCAUAAAGUUGUUCUCAGUUCGGAUUGUAGUCUGCAACUCGACUACAUGAAGCUGGAAUCGCUAGUAAUCGUAGAUCAGCAUGCUACGGUGAAUACGUUCCCGGGUCU